rnacentral:rRNA from 1 species
UACGGAGGGUGCGGGCGUUGUCCGGAAUCAUUGGGCGUAAAGGGCGCGUAGGUGGCCACUUCAAGCGUGCGGUGAAAGUCGGGGGCUCAACCCCUGAUCGGCCGUGCGAACUGGGGGGCUGGAGCACUGUAGAGGCAGGCGGAAUUCCGGGUGUAGCGGUGGAAUGCGUAGAGAUCCGGAAGAACACCGGUGGCGAAGGCGGCCUGCUGGGCAGUUUUGCUGACACUGAGGCGCGACAGCGUGGGGAGCAAACAGG